UACGGGGGGGGCAAGCGUUGUUCGGAAUUACUGGGCGUAAAGGGCUCGUAGGCGGCCAACUAAGUCGGAUGUGAAAUCCCCAGGCUUAACCUGGGAACUGCAUCCGAUACUGGAUGGCUUGAAUCCGGGAGAGGGAUGCAGAAUUCCAGGUGUAGCGGUGAAAUGCGUAGAUAUCUGGAGGAAUACCGGUGGCGAAGGCGGGUCUCUGGGCAUCUCCUGACGCUGAGGCGCGAAAGCGUGGGGAGCAAACGGG
rnacentral:rRNA from 1 species